rnacentral:rRNA from 1 species
UACGGAGGGUGCGAGCGUUGUCCGGAAUCACUGGGCGUAAAGCGCACGUAGGCGGAUUCUUAAGUCGGUGGUGAAAUCCUGGAGCUCAACUCCAGAACUGCCUUCGAUACUGGGAGUCUUGAGUCCGGGAGAGGUGAGUGGAACUGCGAGUGUAGAGGUGAAAUUCGUAGAUAUUCGCAAGAACACCAGUGGCGAAGGCGGCUCACUGGCCCGGUACUGACGCUGAGGUGCGAAAGCGUGGGGAGCAAACAGGG